GUUAAGUGCCAAACCAAAGGCAUUUUUCUCUCUGCUCUUUUUCCUCAGGGCAAAUGGCUUGUGAGCAUGCAUGGUUGUGGCACAGCAUGGCCACUGUGAGGUUGCAGGAUGUCAGACUAAGUGCAUGCUGCUGCUUGGGAAGGAGAAGAUGUAAGCCAUGAGAGGACUGCAGAGCAGGCUUGGGGAAUGCAGAUUUGGUCUCUCAGCCUAAGCCAGGCCAUCCUUCCCUCCUUUGAAAUGGAGAGCAGGGGAUGUGGAGAUCUGUCGCAACGCGCAUGCCGAAGUCACCCGCUGUACCAAUAUGGUUAUCGCGUAGUGCUUAAUUUAUUGCAAUUCGACUACAACAUUUAUAGAGCAUCAGGUAGGCGUUGCGCGCUACAACACUGCUAAUUGGACGGCGGAUAUCAUCACAUAGGCAUUCUUGCAGUUAGAUAGUGGUUAGCAGUCCCGUAAAGCACAACCUGGAGGCGUAGAUGUUUGACCUUGCAACACAGCAGCUGUUCCUCGUCUCAGGCAUCCAAGGACACUCCAGGGAUUACUCGAGCAUGUUCUAAUAAAUAUGCCCACUGUCCAUCA
ensembl:lncRNA